UACGUAGGGUGCAAGCGUUGUCCGGAAUUAUUGGGCGUAAAGAGCUCGUAGGCGGUCUGUCGCGUCUGCUGUGAAAACUCAGGGCUUAACCCUGAGCUUGCAGUGGGUACGGGCAGACUAGAGUGCGGUAGGGGAGACUGGAAUUCCUGGUGUAGCGGUGAAAUGCGCAGAUAUCAGGAGGAACACCGGUGGCGAAGGCGGGUCUCUGGGCCGAAACUGACGCUGGAGGAGCGAAAGCCGUGGGGAGCAAACAGG
rnacentral:rRNA from 1 species